rnacentral:rRNA from 1 species
UACGUAGGUGGCAAGCGUUGUCCGGAUUUAUUGGGCGUAAAGAGCGUGUAGGCGGCCAUGUAGGUCCGUUGUGAAAACUCGAGGCUCAACCUCGAGACGCCGAUGGAAACCAUGUGGCUAGAGUCCGGAAGAGGAGAGUGGAAUUCCUGGUGUAGCGGUGAAUGCGCAGAUAUCAGGAAGAGCACCAAUGGCGAAGGCAGCUCGCUGGGACGGUACGACGCUGAGACGCGAAAGCGUGGGGAGCAAACAGG